rnacentral:rRNA from 1 species
GAUGAACGCUGGCGGCGUGCCUAAUACAUGCAAGUCGAGCGAACGGACGAGAAGCUUGCUUCUCUGAUGUUAGCGGCGGACGGGUGAGUAACACGUGGAUAACCUACCUAUAAGACUGGGAUAACUUCGGGAAACCGGAGCUAAUACCGGAUAAUAUUUUGAACCGCAUGGUUCAAACGUAAAAGACGGUCUUGGUGUCACUUAUAGAUGGAUCCGCGCUGCAUUAGCUAGUUGGUAAGGUAACGGCUUACCAAGGCAACGAUGCUUAGCCGACCUGAGAGGGUGGUCGGCCACACUGGAACUGAGACACGGUCCAGACUCCUACGGGAGGCAGCAGUAGGGAAUCUUCCGGGAUGGGCGAGAGCCUGACGGAGCAACGCCGCGUGAGUGAUGAAGGUCUUCGGAUCGUAAAACUAUGUUAUUAGGGAAGAACAUAUGUGUAAGUAACUGUGCACAUCUUGACGGUACCUAAUCAGAAAGCCACGGCUAACUACGUG